rnacentral:tRNA from 1 species
AGACAGUUGGCUCAAUGGUUAGAGCUUAGGUCUAGUAACCGAAAGGUUACGGGAACGAAUCCUGCUAGAGACUA